GGACGAACGCUGGCGGCGUGCUUAACACAUGCAAGUCGUACGGUAAGGCCCUUUCGGGGUACUCGAGUGGCGAACGGGGGCGUAACACGAGAGUAACCUGCCCCCACCUUUGGGACAACGCUAGGAAACUGGUGCCAAUACUGGAUAUGUGCUCCUGCUGCAUGGUGGGGGUUGGAAAGCUCCGGCGGUUGUGGGUGGACUUGCGGCCUAUCGGCUUGUUGGUGGGGUAGUGGGCUACCAAGGCGGCGUCGGGUAGCCGGCCUGAGAGGGUGACCGGCCACAUUGGGACUGAGGUACGGCCCCGACACCUACGGGAGGCAGCAGUGGGGAAUAUUGCACAAGGGGCGCAAGCCUGAUGCAGCAACGCCGCGUGCGGGAUGACGGCCUUCGGGUUGUAAACCGCAUUCAGCAGGGACGAAGCUUUUUGUGACGGUACCUGCAGAAGAAGCACCGGCUAACUACGUG
rnacentral:rRNA from 1 species